AUAUAUGAUUCGCUGAAUUCUGAUGUUCUAUUCAAUAGAAUAUUCUGAAGCGGGGGAACCACAAUACGGCUUUAAAGCCUUGGGAUGAAUUUGUGCAUGGCACAAAAGGGACAACUCUCAAUUUCCUAAUCCGACAGCUAACCUCGUAAGCGUUUUUGGAGAGAGAA
rnacentral:sRNA from 1 species